UUUAAGUGCAACCAUGAGUUUCCGUGGCCAAAUUUAAUCGUCCGUCUUAUUUAAUUUUUUUUAUAAUUAGUAAUUUUAUUUUUAUGAGAUAAUAAAACAUGAAUAUAAUUCAUGUGUGACUUAUGUUUAUAAUUCUUUUCAAAAAUUUUAAAAUAAGACGGACGAUCAAUGUUGGGCACGAAAAUCAUUGCUGGACUUAAA
rfam:Oryza meridionalis cultivar OR44 (W2112) chromosome 11, whole genome shotgun sequence.